rnacentral:rRNA from 1 species
GAAGGGGGCUAGCGUUGUUCGGAAUUACUGGGCGUAAAGCGCGCGCAGGCGGCUAUCCAAGUCAGUGGUGAAAGCCCGGAGCUCAACUCCGGAACUACCUUUGAAACUGUUUAGCUUGAGGACGAGAGAGGUGAGUGGAAUUCCCAGUGUAGAGGUGAAAUUCGUAGAUAUUGGGAAGAACACCGGUGGCGAAGGCGGCUCACUGGUUCGUAUCUGACGCUCAGGCGCGACAGCGUGGGGAUCAAACAGGAUUAGAUACCCUGGUAGUCCACGCCGUAAACGAUGAAUGCUAGCCGUUGGGCAGCUUGCUGUUCAGUGGCGCAGCUAACGCAUUAAGCAUUCCGCCUGGGGAGUACGGCCGCAAGGUUG